UACGUAGGGGGCAAGCGUUGUCCGGAAUCAUUGGGCGUAAAGAGCGUGUAGGCGGCCCGAUAAGUCCGCUGUGAAAGUCCAGGGCUCAACCCUGGAAUGCCGGUGGAUACUGUCGGGCUCGAGUCCGGAAGAGGUGAGUGGAAUUCCUGGUGUAGCGGUGAAAUGCGCAGAUAUCAGGAGGAACACCAAUGGCGAAGGCAGCUCACUGGGGCGAUACUGACGCUGAGACGCGAAAGCGUGGGGAGCAAACAGG
rnacentral:rRNA from 1 species